rnacentral:rRNA from 1 species
CUACGGGGUGCACCAGUGGGGAAUAUUGGACAAUGGGCGAAAGCCUGAUCCAGCAAUGCCGCGUGUGUGAAGAAGGCCUGAGGGUUGUAAAGCACUUUCAGUAGUGAGGAAAUGUUUAAGGUUAAUACCCUUGAAUCUUGACGUUAACUACAGAAGAAGCACCGGCUAACUCCGUGCCAGCAGCCGCGGUAAUACGGAGGGUGCAAGCGUUAAUCGGAAUUACUGGGCGUAAAGCGCGCGUAGGCGGUUUGGUCAGUCAGAUGUGAAAGCCCCGGGCUCAACCUGGGAAUUGCAUUUGAUACUGCUAAACUCGAAUGUGGUAGAGGGAAGUGGAAUUCCAGGUGUAGCGGUGAAAUGCGUAGAGAUCUGGAGGAACAUCAGUGGCGAAGGCGGCUUCCUGGACCAACAUUGACGCUGAGGUGCGAAAGCGUGGGUAGCAAACAGGAUUAGAUACCCCAGUAGUC